rnacentral:rRNA from 1 species
UACGUAGGGGGCAAGCGUUGUCCGGAUUCAUUGGGCGUAAAGAGCGCGUAGGCGGCUUGUCAGGUCGGAUGUGAAAACCUUGGGCUUAACCCGAGGACUGCAUUCGAAACCGGCAGGCUUGAGUUUGGUAGAGGGAUGUGGAAUUCCUAGUGUAGCGGUGAAAUGCGCAGAUAUUAGGAAGAACACCAGUGGCGAAGGCGGCAUCCUGGGCCAUAACUGACGCUGAGGCGCGAAAGCUGGGGGAG